CUCACCCUAGCUCAGCUCUGCCAAGGGGACUCGGCUCUCAGACCUCAGCCACGGGGAUUUCCUGUCAGGCUAGCGCGCUGCUGGGCUGCAGCUCAUGUCUCCCCCACCCCCAAGUUCACCCACCACCUAGAGAUGCAAGAAAUUAGUUUUAAAUAAUGUCACUUGCCCAUACCCCCUUUCCCCAAGCUGGUCCCAUCUCUCACACACCCGUGUGGCCUGGGCUGCGAGUCGUGGAGGAGCAUCCCGGGGGGUUGCGGUGGGGCGCCGCGCCGAGGCUUGCCUCCGCGGGCGCCCGUUCAGGCUCGGGCUCAGCCCUGGGCAGCCCGCCCGUGCAUCGUUCGCUCGGUGCAGAAAUCCUACCGCCCGUGCGCCCUGGGCGCGCCGCCGGGCCCCGCGCCGGCUCCCCGGGAAUGCGGCCGUCAGGUGAGUUUCUCCUUCAGCGGCAAAAAGAGAGAUCGCAGGAAUCCAUGCCCAGUUCCAGCCUAACUCGGUCCACAGGCAGAGAGAGAAUUAUGAAUGGAUGCUGCCUUCUGAUGAGGAAGUCGACUGGGGAGGUCUCUGCGCACGGCGCGCUCCAUCAAAGCAGGGGCAUUGGCCCCUCCACUGCUUCAAUGCUGCAGGCUGAGCCACCUAAUUGACCACUGGGAAAUCAGGUGCCGGGAGACCUGGGCGGGACGUAGCCCCGGGGCCACGCUGGCAUCGAGCGCCUUGCCGGCGUAGACAGCUUCGAUUUACAGCCCAGUGAAUGGAGAGGACUGCGGCAGCCAAACCUCCCGGGCAGCAGGCACGGUUGCACCAACGCUCCGCAUGCAGCCACCAGGCUCCACGAACAUCUCCUGGCUCCACCGGGCUAACGGGAACCUAGCUGAAAAGAAUCUGUCCCCUGCCGCCAGCCGCAGUGAGCUGCAGGACUCAGCCCCCAGCCCCAAACUCAGCAGCGCGCGGGAGCCGGUCACAAAGCCUGGCCUGUGCGCUUAGACGAGCUGGAGGUUGCGGAGGAUCCCGGAUCCGGAUUUCUUGUACCUGUGCGUUUCCUUCUCCCGUAGCGCGACCGUUGGGGCUGCGCGUAACCCAUGCCCAGAGUGGCGGCGGGCUUGGUACAUCACCAACAGGCUGGACCGACCGCAGCUGCUCAGCACCGCACCCCCGUGGCUCCCCUCUCACCUCCCUUGUCCCCAGUCUCUGGCCAACAGUAGAGGAAUCAGAGACGCCAACCAUGCCAAUCCUGCCAUCGGGGGACAGAGGAUGGACAGGGACCGGCGUAGAGCAUGUGCCUGCAUGUAACAGGAACAGAGCUGCCCGAAAAAUGUGACAUUGCGUCCCCUCCCCCCAUUCAUCUCCGGACGCUGAAGCCUCACAUCCUAGACACAACUCACUCUGCCCAGGCUUAAAAACACUGCAAGGACAAUGCCUUUGCAGCCAUGUAUUAAUCUCCAGGGAAGGGUGAUUUACUAAACCAGCUCUGAGGUUGAACCAGGAUUAAAAACCAUGGCAGUGUGUGCCCAUGCCUUAGGCUGGCAGGUUCUAUAUAUAACAACCUAAUGCAGAAGGCAGAGUCAUUUAGGGCCACUUAAAGCAUAGCACUUAUGGGAUAUAGCCUAAUAUAUAACAAGGGGAAACCCAGUGAAUGAAAUUAUCCAAAGAUGCCUUGUGGAAUGCUGUCUUGGUCAUCUGUCUGAAGGCCUUUGAAACACAUUUAGGGAAAGCUUGACCAUUUUCUGACUGGGCUGCUUAUUUUCAAAUAGGGAGGUUUAUGCCCUGGGCAGAUUUGCACGUGUGAGCAGUAUUAUGUCCCCAGGUCUGUAACUCCUUCGUAAUGCACAAUUGUGGUAAAAACUUAUCUAGCCAAGGUCACAAGAAAUCACAGGGUCUGUAUGAGCAUUAGUAAAAAAAAAAAUAUUUCCUAAUUGGCAUUACUAUGAAUUAAUGAUUGUGGUCACAUAAAGUAUCACAUUGAACCCAAGUUAGUCUGGGUUGGCUGUUCUCCUCCAACCCCAUUCAAUGCCAACCUCCUUGGAGGGCUGCCAGCUCCCAGCAAGGACAGAGAAUCUGGCUGGAGUCCCCCUGGAAAGCAGUAUGUCUAGGACAGGAAGGUGAGAGGAGGUAAGAGGCGAAGGCAUAGCCACUUUCCCAGUGAAGGUGAGAAGAGAGCCAUGAACCCCAAAGUUCAAAGGGUGGAUGGGCAAAGGAGGAGGCCACCAGAGAGGGAGACAGAAAGAUGAGUCAGAGAAGCAGGAGCUCAGGAGGGUGGGGGAUGGGCCCCCACCUCAGAAGCCAGGAGGCGAGUUUCCAGAAGAAAGUGGGAUCAAGAAUGCCAAAUCAUGGAGAGAUCAGUGGGAGGAGUUCUGCCUGCCAAGGGCUGACCUGGACCCAGGCUUUGGGAAGGCCUGAGGGAUGGGAGGUGUGGGGUAUGUGGGAAGCCCACUUGGAGCUUCUAAAUAUAAAAAGCAAGUCUUUUCCUUAGCCUUGCUCCUUGAGGACCACCAGCAGUGGCAGCACCUGGAGGUUUGUCAGAGAUGCACAUUCUUAGGCCCCACCUAGACCUGCCACAUCACAGGGGGGGGGGUUGGCCACCAUCUGUGUGGUGACAAACUUCAUAGAUCAAGUUCAUUUGGGGAAUGGGAAGCCCCACCAUGUAUUGGCUCCAACCUCUCAGGCCUUGAAAUGGGAAUUUAUGUUAGGGUGAGCGAAAUGGUCGCCCUCUGCAGCAAUCCCUGGCAAGAUCAUGAGUGGCUGGUGGCCAAGUCACUAAUCACACACCCCAAGGAGAUGAAUUACCUUGCUCUGGGUUUUCAGGUCUGCUCUAUCAAGGGAGAGCCUGGAUGAUGAGGUCUGGAGAAUUCCAAAAUGCAAUGAAACUGGCCAAGUCUUUCCCCCUUUGUAUCAAUAUUUACAACAAUGAAGUGGUUGUUAACAAAGAUGAUGGAAAUAAGACUAUAACCAGAUUGUUUAAAUUUGAAUAAGGUUUUAACAAAUCCCAUGGCAUAAAAGGGGAAAAAAAACAUGGACUUUGAACCCAGAAAGACCUAUGUGUGAAUCUUAGCUCCUCCAGCCCUUAGCAGUGUAGCUUUGAAAAAAUUAUUUGACUUCUUGAAUCUCGGUUUCCUUCUUUAAAAAUGAAAACAAGAAUAUCUCAUUUAUAGGGUUGCUGAGAAGAGUAAAUAAAAUGAUAAACAUAAAGCACAAUGAUGGUACCUGGUACAUAUUAAAAACUCAAUGAAUGUA